rnacentral:rRNA from 1 species
GACGAACGCUGGCGGCGUGCUUAACACAUGCAAGUCGAACGGGCCCGCCCCUGUUUUUGGGGGUGGGUUGAGUGGCGAACGGGUGAGUAUCACGUGAGUAACCUGCCCCCUGCUCCUGGAUAACUGCUUGAAAGGGCGGCUAAUACGGGGUGUGCCGGCUGGUCCGCAUGGGCCUGGUCGGGAUAGUUUCAUCUUCGGGUGUUUCGGUGGGGGAUGGGCUCGCGGCCUAUCAGCUUGUUGGUGGGGUGAUGGCCCACCAAGGCGGUGACGGGUAGCCGGCCUGAGAGGGUGGGCGGCCACACUGGGACUGAGACACGGCCCAGACUACUGCGGGAGGCAGCAGUGGGGGGUAUUGCACAAUGGGCGGAAGCCUGAUGCAGCGACGUCGCGUGAGGGAUGGAGGCCUUCGGGUUGUGAACCUCUUUCUCCGGUGGUGAAGGCCCUGUCCGUUGCGGCGGGGUUGACGGUAGCCGGGUAUGAAGCGCCGGCUAACUACGUG